rnacentral:lncRNA from 1 species
GAUUUCCAGUGAUGAUACCAUUGGAGCUGCAACUUUUACUAUCAAUGUGCGUCUGGUAUGUUUGCUCAUACUAAUCCGUUAGCAUUUAAUUUUGCAUUUUUAUCUCUUAUCCUAAAAGCAUCUAGUAGCAACUGAAUUGCAGUUAAGUCUGACCUCAGUGCUCCUGGAGUGAUUCAAUCUUAAAAUGAUUGUGGAUUUUGAAAAGACAGGGGGAAACUGGCCAUGGGUUCUCAUGGGAGUGCCCUGGCAGACACGCAGUCCUGAACUUGCUGUCAUUUUUAGGAGGUUAUAGAGUUGAGAAAUGUUUCCCCUGUGGGCAUGAGAUAAAAAGAAGGUGGGAAAACAGACAGUGAAGAGUCAUGACCCUGUGUCCCUUCACAUCUUGUUUAGAACCAAAAAGUGUGAGGAAUUUGCAAGUGCCUCCGAGAUGGGAGCAACACUGGUAUCUCCUUGAGCUGGCUCUAACCAACCUUAGCAUCCUUCCUUAGCAUCAGCCAUUAUGCAUCUUCUCACCAAAGCACGUCAGCAUGAAUCUGAACCAGUGAUGCAUUAAACAUGGCACUGAUAUAGAAAAUUUAACUUGCAAUGAAGCAAGACCAAAGCUUUUAAUAAAAUGCAAAGAUAUGUAACUGCCUAAAUUUACAUAUGACGUUGUAGUCAGAGACUUGAAAGGAAGGGAGCCCAUUCAAAUAAGUAAAGGGGAAAAAAGUGCUAUAAAAAUGCAAUUAAUUUCAUAAGUAUUCAAAGACAGAACAGAGUUGUAAAAGCAUAUGUGUACCUACACAAUCUCUCAUGGCUAAAAUAUCACGAUUUUCCUGCGUUCACCUCUCAUAGAAAAAAAAUACCAAAAAAAACAAAAGUGUUCUACUUUGAUUUUCUAAAACUUAUUUGAAAAGAAAAGGGCAAUUGUUUUCAUCUACAACUAUAUCUGUAAAUCUUCUUCUAGUCUGAAUAUAUUAAAAGACUUAAAUCUUUGAACUGAACUGAAAAGUUGUUUAUAUGAUACAGCUUUACAUACACAACCAAAUAACCUCAGUUGUUUUCAUUUUCAGUAUAAAUGUGGGGAUUUCAUAAGUGGCUACCUACAAGGGUUAAAUAUAAAAUAACAUUCUAAUAAAUAGUCACAUUAAUUAGUGUUAAUCACAGCAUAAAGCACUACACCCAGAGUAAUGCCCUUCUAAUUUGUGUAGUUACAGAGAAUCCCUACCAGCCUGCCUGCCUAGUGCCCAUGGAACUGGAAGGAAUCCUACCCAUGAGCACGUAUCCAUAGAGCUCCCCUUUAAACCACCUCUGGCAUCCCCAAACAUAUGUGCCCAGUCAGCAGUCCAUUGCCUUAACCACUCGGCCACCUCAUCCCAUAUGUACCCAUCCAGGGAAGAAGCAAUUAAAGUUUACUAUUGCUCAAGAAAUACACACCAGCUGCCUGUAUAGUCAACAUAGUUCUGUCAUAAAUAGAAAUGGUCAACUAAAAUCAAAACACAUUUGAAGAAUUCCCAUUGUAGUUCAGCGGAAACAAACCUGACUAGCAUCCAUGAGGAUGCAGGUUCAGUUCCUGGCCUCACUCAGUGGGUUAAGGAUCUGGUGUUACCAUGAGCUAUGGUGUAGGUCACAGAUGCAGCUCGGAUCUGGUGUUGCUGUGGCUGUGGUGUAGGCCAGUGGCUAUAGCUCCAAUUCGAACCCUAGCCUAGGAACCUCCAUAUGCCAUGGGUGUGGACCUAAAAAGGAAAUUUUUUAAAAAAGUAAAUCACAUUUGAAAAAAGAACCACAGCUUGAAACAGAAAUAUAUAGAUGAACAAACAAAAUAACUGAUCCCAGAGCAGAAAACAUCAUGUAACAAACACAAAAACACUUUUUAAAAGAUUAAAUUUAUAUCCUCAGAGUUAUUUCAAAGUAUAGUAUUUUUGUAAAACAAGUUCUGACAUUUAUGAAAAAAGAGCAGUUGAGAACAUAAAAGAGUUUUUAGAAAAUAAAGAUAGAAUUUCCAAAAUAAGAAAAAUGUAAUAGGAGUUCUGAAUAAUAAAACAUACAUGGCUGAAGACUUUAAUUAGUAGCCUGGAAGAUAAAAUUAAGGACAUUUUCAAAAGUUAGAGCAACAAAAUAUGAUAUAACUAAAGGACAGUAUCUGUCUAAUGGGGGUUUUCAAUGGAGGAAACAGAGGAAAUAGAAGGAAAGAAGCAGUCAAUGAAACAAUAGUUAUCCAUGCUGCAAAAAUCAGAGCCUGAGCACAGAGCCUCUCUCUCCCAUCCAAGCACUGACAUAAACAGCUAAUGUGGGGAGGGCCUUGGGACUGGGGAGGCAAAUGAAGAAAGCAUGGCCUACUUAGGAUUUAGUGUCCUACAGAGACAGUUUGUUUGGCCUGAUUAGGCAGCUUCUGUAGAGCAUCAUUUAAAAGCUGGAAGGAUCAAAGACUAGACACCCAAGGAAAAGGCCUAUAGCUCUGGUGGAAAGUGAAGUUUAUUGAUUUAGCAUCCAGUGGUUUGAGCCUACUGGACACCUCCAACACAAGGAAACACUCUAGUUCUACUACUGCAGGCCAUUCUUGGAAGGGAUCAUUUGGCUAAGCUCCCCCCUUUUUUGUGGCUGAAGAAGGACCACCUUCCCCAGAGCCCCCACAACUACACACAGCCACAUUCAAGAAUGCUAACAGUCUGACAAGUUCCCACUCACUGCCGCAUCACUAGAAAAGAUUCUCUCUUAACUCUCACGUCCUGCCCUCCACCACCAACUGACAGUUCCCAACAGGCUAACUUAAACAUGCACUGUUAUGGGAAAGCAAAGAAAGAUCUCAGAUUUACUUAAGGGGCUCAGCAGCUUAAAGGAGGAAGAAUGGGGCAGGGGGAGGGGAAAGACAGGACAAAUGUCUCCCACAAGGCAGAUAAUAUAGAGAGAAAAUACAAUUUAAGAAAAAAAAUUACAUAAAUCAAUGGCAUACAAAAAAUAUUGAUGGAUCUGGUGUUGCCGCAACUGUGAUGUAGGUUGCAGCUAUGGUGGCUAGGAUUCAAUCCCUGGUGCAGGUACUUCCAUGUGCCACAGGUGCUGCCAAAAGAAAAAAAAAGAUAUUGGUAUACAAAGAAUUAGAAAACCAAAAAUAGUAACUUAAAAAAUAUUUUUUUAAAUCAUAGUACUUGAAUUUUAAAAUUCAUUAGAGGAACACCAGAAAAAAGUGGUACUUCUGGAAACAAAAUUGAAAGUAAGAAAGGUCAAAUAGAGGAACUAUAUCACAAUGAAGCCCCAAAACAUAAAGGUUGGACGUUUUGUGUAAAAAGAUGUAUAAGACAGAUCCAGAAGAGCUGAAAAACAAAACAAUGAGCAGUCCAAGAAAUAACCAGAAAACAUACAAAGGAGAAGUUUAAAAGGGAACAGAAGAAAGAUUCUGCUUUUCAGAUUAAAUAUGCCAAGCAUGAUUUAACUUUUUAAAUGACACAUAUUUUGACAAAAUAUAGUAAAACUAUGAAUCCCAAAAAUAAAAAGAAAAUCUGAUACUUUCAGACAUUAAUACACACAUAUACACAUACAUAUUAACUUAGGAAAGAACAUCACAAUAGACUUUUUGCCUGCACCUCUGGAAGAUAGGGAAAAAUAUUUUCAGGCUUUCCAGAGAAAAGAAGCAAGGUUCAAGAAUUCCUUACCAGCCUAGACAUCAUUCAUCCCCAUGAAAGAGCAAGGGAAUAAAUUUUACAUGAUUAUAAAAUAUUCUACCUAUGUAUCCUUCUCAGGCAACAAAGAAGCAGAGAGGAAAUUAAUUUAUGACAAAUAAUCUUAAACUAGUAAAAGAUUGAGUGUAUAAGAAACAAUGGUGAGCAAAAAAAACCCUAGUUUUUAAAAACUGAAGAAGGUAUUAAAAUUAAAAGGAUGAUAAUGCAAUUUUUGAAGUAUAAAAUAUAUGUUGAAUGAGGAUUAUAAAAGUAGAAAGGCAUAAUUCACAGAAAAGUAAACAACAGUUUAGAACUAAAAUGCCAAUAAUACCUAGGGAUGAAUGUUAAAGAAAGAUGAUUCAAAAUAAAAAUUUAUCAGAAGAUGGGGUGGGGGAAGAGGAUUAGGAAGAUACAAUGGUAAAGAUCACUGAUCUAUACUCAUUUUGAAAUGUAAAACAGAGACCCAGAGCAGAAUUUUGAAAUUAUUGCUGGGAGUGAGAGGUGAGAAAGAUAAGAUGGUAGAUGUAGGAAAAGCAGAACAGAAUCAUGCCUUCUUAAAGUAGAGGGUGUAUUUGUUUUUCAAAUACCCAGAGAAUGGUUAUAACCAUUGUCCAUUUUUUAGGCCACAAAUAAAAUCUUAAUAAAUUCAAGAAAAAAAUACAUAACAUAUUCUCUAAAAACCAAGAUAAAAGUAGGCAUUAACAAAAGAAGAAAAUUUUUUAUUUCAAAUAUGUGCAUGUAGAGAUUUAGAAGCACUCCUUUAAAUAGCUCUUGGUUUAAACAGGAUAUCAAAACCAAAGUUGCAAAAAUUAUAUAGAAAAAUUAAAGACAAAGAAAAUUUCUUAUCAAUGCUUAUGUGAGCCAGUUUUAUAUGGUAUAUGGUAUCCAAAGUAAGAGAUGAAGAGUUACAGCUUAAAAGAAUUUAUUAAAACUAAGAAGGAUUGAAAACAAAAUUAAAAAGCUAACAUUUGAACUCUAGAAUCAAGAAAAAAUGAUGAAUUAAGCCCAGAGAAAUUAAAGAAAAACUAUUAAUAAACACAAAAACAUAAAUUAAUUAUGUACAAAAUAAAAUACAUAUCAAUAAAACCAAAAACAUAUAGUUUUUUUUGGAAAAACUAAUAAAAUGGCCAAAUACUGCAACUUAGAGGAAAAGAGAGAAGACAAGUAUAACUGCCUUCUCCAAGACAUGAAGAAGUUCAUUGAUCAGGUGAGCCGUCAUAGUCUUGAAGAGCUCUGUGGUAACGAUUCUUAUAAGCCAGCAUGAGAAAAGCUGUCAUCUAAUUGUACUCUAUGAAUUCAAUGAGGAUGAUGGGCUGCCAGGGUGGCAGGAAGCAAGUGAUGGCACUUAAUCCUCAAAGACAAGGCAGUUGUGGUUACUGUAAUGAAAGCAGAGCCAAAGUAGUCAUGAGAAUGCUUAGACAUGCUUAGAGAUUUUGUGUGGGCAAACUGAUCACAGUGCCCUUAGGACUGAAAUAGAUAGGCAGUGAAUGAAAGUCUUUCCUGAUUCAUGUAGGUGAAAGAGCUCUAGAUGUAAUGUUUUAAAAGUCUGGCUUAAACCACUACAACAGAGAAUCAUGGAUCCUCAAACGAUUCCCAGGCUCAAAGUCCCCUGAAUGAAGGGGAGGCUGGUGUUCUCUUGAGAAAGGACCUUGCUAACCUACCAAAAAUGUACGUGUAAAUCUUCCUUUUAGACUACCAAAUAAAUUUGGUGUCAUUUAGCACGGAGACUGUGCCUAGGGGAAGGAAAAUAAUCAGAAUUUGAGAAUUUCUGGAUGUCUUAAUCCCGCACCCUUAGAAUCCAUUUCUGUGAAUAUUUCUCUGGUUUAUAUUGUGAUUUUUUUGGUGCUUAUGGUGUCUCCUGAUAGGUCACUGUAUCUCCCCCUCUGGGGUGUGAUGAGUCCUGAGUCUGGUUAUAAGUCUAGUAGCAAAGAGAGGUAGUAGAAGUAGGUCCUAAAGGAGAUCUAAAUAGCACAUAGGAGCCAUUUCAGAUUCUCAGGAAAAGGAAAACUAAUUACUUCAGUCAGGGGAAAUGUUGCUCCAUUACAUAUGAACAUCUCCAAAAGUCUCAACCCACAGCAGGUGCUCAAAAGUCCCAAAUCUCAUUACCCAAGUCAAAUAUGGGUGGCAUUCCAGAUAUAAUCCAUCUUGGAGCAAAAUUCCCUUCCAUUUGUGAACCUGUGAAACUAAAAAAGAGUCAUUGGUCCCAAACAAUUUCAAAAUCCAACUGGUCAAAUUUCAUUAGGUUAAAAGUUUUGGAAUAAUCCUCUGUAGCUUAUGGCUCUGCACUGUGGACCCAAGUCCUUACCCUUAAAGUCAUCUUUCUUUUUUCUCAAAGAGUAGGACAUAUCUUUUAUCAUGUUUCCUGCCUGUAAAAUUCUGGGAGACCAACAGCUUUCCUUCAUUUCAUUCUGUUUCUUGUCCUUUUCAGUCCAAGAUGUCAGUUUUUUCUGCUAACAUGACAUUCCCAAAACCUUGUCAGGAUGGGAUUAAGAUGGUAGAGCAGAAGGACCAGAGCUGACCUUCUCUCAUAAAAGCAACAAAAUUACAAAUAACUGUUGAACAACCUUCAACAAAAUAGACUGAAAACUAUCAAAAAAGAUAUCCUACUCCAGAAGACAAAGAGGAGGCCACAUCGAGACAGUUGGAGGGGUGAUUACACAAUAUAAGUAACCCCAUGCCUGCUGGGCAGGCAGCCCACACACAGGAAAGUAACUGUAUUGCAGAGUUUCACCUACAGGAGUAAGAGCUCUGAACCCCACAUCAGGUUCCCUCACCUGGGAUCUGGCAUUGGGAAGAGGAACCCCUGGAGCAUUUGGCAUUGAGGGACAGUGGGGCUAGCGCACAGGAGAUCCACAGGACUGGGGGAAUCAGAACUCCACUCUUGAAAGGCACACAUAGGCUUUCAUGUGCACUGGGUCCCAGCACAAAGCAGAAACUGCAUAGGAAUCUGGGUGAGACCUGCCUGAAGUUCUUGGAGGAUCUCCUGAGAAAACAAGGGGUGACUGUGGUUUACUGUGGGGGAAAGACAUUAGAGACAAAGGUCUCAGUGUGAAUCAUCAGUGUGAACUCCUCUAGAGGUGGCCAUUUUGGAAAAAUCUGUCCCCACCCACCAGGGCUGAGACAUCCAGGCCAAAAAACAAAUCUGGUGGGAAUACAGCCAAACCCAUCAGCAAACAGGUUGCCUAAAGACCCCCAGGCACACACCCACCUCUAAUCACACCCAGAGACGAAGCCCCACCCACAUGAGGGAUAAGAAUAAGUUCCACCUACCAGUGGGCAGGCACAAGUCCCUCCCAUCAGGAAACCUGCAGCAAGUACCUUUUACAACUUUAGCCACGAUAGGGGCAGACAUCAGUAGCAAGAGACGGAGUUCCCGUCGUGGCACAGUGGUUAACGAAUCCGACUAGGAACCAUGAGGUUGCGGGUUCGGUCCCUGCCCUUGCUCAGUGGGUUAACGAUCCGGCAUUGCCGUGAGCUGUGGUGUAGGUUGCAGACAUGGCUCGGAUCCCGAGUUGCUGUGGCUCUGGCGUAGGCCGGCAGCUACAGCUCUGAUUCGACCCCUAGCCUGGGAACCUCCAUAUGCUGAGGGAGCGGCCCAAGAAAAUGGCAAAAAAAGACAAAAAAAAAAAAAAAAAAAAAAAAAAAAA